rnacentral:rRNA from 1 species
GACGAACGCUGGCGGCGUGCCUAAUACAUGCAAGUCGAACGCUGAAGAGAGGAGCUUGCUCUUCUUGGAUGAGUUGCGAACGGGUGAGUAACGCGUAGGUAACCUGCCUUGUAGCGGGGGAUAACUAUUGGAAACGAUAGCUAAUACCGCAUAACAAUGCAUCACACAUGUCGUCUAUUUGAAAGGGGCAAUUGCUCUACUAUAAGAUGGACCUGCGUUGUAUUAGCUAGUAGGGGAGGUAACGGCUCACCUAGGCGUCGAUACAUAGCCGACCUGAGAGGGGGAGCGGCCAAGCUGGGACGGGAGCACGGCCCAGACUACUGCGGGAGGCAGCCGUAGGGAAUCUUCGGGAAUGGGGGCAGUGCUGAACGAGCCACGCCGGGUGAGAGAAGGAGGUAUUCGGGUCGUAAAGAUCUGUUGGGAGUCAAGAACGAGAGUGAGAGUGGAAAGUUCACAUUGUGACGGUAGCUUACCAAAAAGCCACGGCUAACUACGUG